rnacentral:rRNA from 1 species
UGCUGGAGCGAAUAGAAGUGAGCAUGCAGGCAUGAGUAGCGAUAAUUAAUGUGAGAAUCAUUAACGCCGUAAACCCAAGGUUUCCUACGCGAUGCUCGUCAUCGUAGGGUUAGUCGGGUCCUAAGUCGAGUCCGAAAGGGGUAGACGAUGGCAAAUUGGUUAAUAUUCCAAUACCAACAUUAGUGUGCGAUGGAAGGACGCUUAGGGCUAAGGGGGCUAGCGGAUGGAAGUGCUAGUCUAAGGUCGUAGGAGGUUGUACAGGCAAAUCCGUAUAACAAUACUCCGAGAACUGAAAGGCUUUUUGAAGUCUUCGGAUGGAUAGAAGAACCCCUGAUGCCGUCGAGCCAAGAAAAGUUUCUAAGUUUAGCUAAUGUUGCCCGUACCGUAAACCGACACAGGUGGGUGGGAUGAGUAUUCUAAGGCGCGUGGAAGAACUCUCUUUAAGGAACUCUGCAAAAUAGCACCGUAUCUUCGGUAUAAGGUGUGGUUCGCUUCGUACUAGGAUUUACUCCGAAAGCGAAGAAACUUACAACAAAGAGUCCCUCCCGACUGUUUACCAAAAACACAGCACUCUGCUAACUCGUAAGAGGAUGUAUAGGGUGUGACGCCUGCCCGGUGCUCGAAGGUUAAUUGAUGGGGUUAGCAUUAGCGAAGCUCUUGAUCGAAGCCCGAGUAAACGGCGGCCGUAACUAUAACGGUCCUAAGGUAGCGAAAUUCCUUGUCGGUUAAAUACCGACCUGCAUGAAUGGCGUAACGAGAUGGGAGCUGUCUCAAAGAGGGAUCCAGUGAAAUUGUAGUGGAGGUGAAAAUUCCUCCUACCCGCGGCAAGACGGAAAGACCCCGUGGACCUUUACUACAGCUUGACACUGCUACUUGGAUAAGAAUGUGCAGGAUAGGUGGGAGGCUUUGAGUAAUAGACGCUAGUUUAUUAUGAGCCAUUGUUGAGAUACCACUCUUUCUUAUUUGGGUAGCUAACCAGCUUGAGUUAUCCUCAAGUGGGACAAUGUCUGGUGGGUAGUUUGACUGGGGCGGUCGCCUCCCAAAUAAUAACGGAGGCUUACAAAGGUUGGCUCAGAACGGUUGGAAAUCGUUCGUAGAGUAUAAAGGUAUAAGCCAGCUUAACUGCAAGACAUACAAGUCAAGCAGAGACGAAAGUCGGUCUUAGUGAUCCGGUGGUUCUGUGUGGAAGGGCCAUCGCUCAAAGGAUAAAAGGUACCCCGGGGAUAACAGGCUGAUCUCCCCCAAGAGCUCACAUCGACGGGGAGGUUUGGCACCUCGAUGUCGGCUCAUCGCAUCCUGGGGCUGGAGCAGGUCCCAAGGGUAUGGCUGUUCGCCAUUUAAAGCGGUACGCGAGCUGGGUUCAGAACGUCGUGAGACAGUUCGGUCCCUAUCUGCCGUGGGCGUAAGAAGAUUGAAGAGAUUUGACCCUAGUACGAGAGGACCGGGUUGAACAAACCACUGGUGUAGCUGUUGUUCUGCCAAGAGCAUCGCAGCGUAGCUAAGUUUGGAAAGGAUAAACGCUGAAAGCAUCUAAGCGUGAAGCCAACUCUAAGAUGAAUCUUCUCUAAGCUCUCUAGAAGACUACUAGUUUGAUAGGCUGGGUGUGUAAUGGAUGAAAGUCCUUUAGCUGACCAGUACUAAUAGAGCGUUUGGCUUAUCUUUAAUAAAGCAU